rnacentral:tRNA from 1 species
GCGGAUGUGGGGGAAUUGGUAGACCCGCUAGAUUUAGGUUCUAGUUUCGUAAGAAGUGAGAGUUCGAGUCUCUCCAUCCGCACCA